AAAUCCUUGGCUAACAGUUAACUGAGUAACCCUUUCAAUGCUGGCUAGAUCCUCUUCGGCAUUUAAUAUCCUAUUCUUAUGUAAUUUUCAAAUAAAAUAACAUUUAAACCAGCUCAUUAAUCAUUUCCUGGAACCAUCCAAUAAGAAUAAUCUACCAGAUUCUAUAAGCCGAAUUUUAAUUUGCCUAAAAAGAUAUCUUAUCUUAUUAAGAGCAAAUCAAUACACCUGGAUAAAAACA